ACCAUCCUUUUCCUGGGGUUGCGCUACUGUCCGAUGAGCGUGUAGCGAGGGCAGUACUGCUAACGCCUAAGAAAAAAAAAAAAAAACCUACAGCAGGGACUUCCCUGGCGGUCCAGUGGUUAGGACGU
ensembl:snRNA